CAGUCGCCGCGGUAAUACAGAGGGUGCGAGCGUUAAUCGGAUUUACUGGGCGUAAAGCGUGCGUAGGCGGCUUCUUAAGUCGGAUGUGAAAUCCCUGAGCUUAACUUAGGAAUUGCAUUCGAUACUGGGAAGCUAGAGUAUGGGAGAGGAUGGUAGAAUUCCAGGUGUAGCGGUGAAAUGCGUAGAGAUCUGGAGGAAUACCGAUGGCGAAGGCAGCCAUCUGGCCUGUACUGACGCUCAUGCACGAAAGCGUGGGGAGCAAACAGGAUUAGAUACCCCUGUAGUCCCUGUCUCUUAUACC
rnacentral:rRNA from 1 species